rnacentral:ncRNA from 1 species
GACAUAAGAGGUGUAGAAUAAGUGGGAGAUAUUAGACCUCGGUUUCGGUAUCGUCAAUGAAAUACCACUACUCUUAUUGUUUCCUUACUUACUUGAUUAAAUGGAACGUGUAUCAUUUCCUAGCCAUUAUACGGAUAUAUUUAUUAUAUCUUAUGGUAUUGGGUUUUGAUGCAAGCUUCUUGAUCAAAGUAUCACGAGUUUGUUAUAUAAUCGCAAACAAAUUCUUUAAUAAAACGAUGCAUUUAUGUAUUUUUGAUUUGAAAAUUUGGUAUAACUCCAAUUACUCAGGUAUGAUCCAAUUCAAGGACAUUGCCAGGUAGGGAGUUUGACUGGGGCGGUACAUCUCUCAAAUAAUAACGGAGGUGUCCCAAGGCCAGCUCAGUGCGGACAGAAACCACACAUAGAGCAAAAGGGCAAAUGCUGACUUGAUCUCGGUGUUCAGUACACACAGGGACAGCAAAAGCUCGGCCUAUCGAUCCUUUUGGUUUAAAGAGUUUUUAACAAGAGGUGUCAGAAAAGUUACCAUAGGGAUAACUGGCUUGUGGCGGCCAAGCGUUCAUAGCGACGUCGCUUUUUGAUCCUUCGAUGUCGGCUCUUCCUAUCAUUGUGAAGCAAAAUUCACCAAGCGUUGGAUUGUUCACCCAUGCAAGGGAACGUGAGCUGGGUUUAGACCGUCGUGAGACAGGUUAGUUUUACCCUACUAAUGACAAAACGUUGUUGCGACAGCAUUCCUGCGUAGUACGAGAGGAACCGCAGGUACGGACCAAUGGCACAAUACUUGUUCGAGCGAACAGUGGUAUGACGCUACGUCCGUUGGAUUAUGCCUGAACGCCUCUAAGGUCGUAUCCGUGCUGGACUGCAAUGAUAAAUAAGGGGC